GGGCACUCUAAGUUGACUGCCGGUGACAAACCGGAGGAAGGUGGGGAUGACGUCAAAUCAUCAUGCCCCUUAUGAUUUGGGCUACACACGUGCUACAAUGGACAAUACAAAGGGCAGCGAAACCGCGAGGUCAAGCAAAUCCCAUAAAGUUGUUCUCAGUUCGGAUUGUAGUCUGCAACUCGACUACAUGAAGCUGGAAUCGCUAGUAAUCGUAGAUCAGCAUGCUACGGUGAAUACGUUCCCGGGUCUUGUACACACCGCCCGUCACACCACGAGAGUUUGUAACACCCGAAGCCGGUGGAGUAACCAUUUUGGAGCUAGCCGUCGAAGGUGGGACAAAUGAUUGGGGUGAAGUCGUAACAAGGUAGCCGUAUCGGAAGGUGCGGCUGGAUC
rnacentral:rRNA from 1 species